rnacentral:rRNA from 1 species
UACGUAGGGGGCUAGCGUUGUCCGGAAUCAUUGGGCGUAAAGCGCGCGUAGGCGGCCCUGUUAGUCCGCUGUAAAAGUCAAAGGCUCAACCUUUGAAUGCCGGUGGAUACUGCAGGGCUAGAGUCCGGAAGAGGCGAGUGGAAUUCCUGGUGUAGCGGUGGAAUGCGCAGAUAUCAGGAGGAACACCAACGGCGAAGGCAGCUCGCUGGCCCGGUACUGACGCUGAGGCACGAAAGCGUGGGGAGCAAACAGG